CGUGUGGUUCAAUACAAUGAUCUUAUAGCAUACUUAAUUACAUAAAAUGUCACUGAGUUCUCUAUAUUCUUGGAAAUUGGGUCGUUCGACUGAAAACAAAGUCAAAAUCAUUGAAACAAAGCAAUGUUAAUGCGCAUGCUUAUGCCACGUAUGCAUAUAACUUACCCUACAAAAAUAGGGUAUAGUUUUGUGCAUUUAGUAGAAAUCGAAUUUAUCCAAAAUGGCGACCGGAGAUUUUGUUGGGAACUUCGAUGACAUUAAAUCAAAAACUUACACGAAAGAGGAACAUGACGAUAGAAGAUGUAAGUACAAAAGAAGAAAACUGACUAAAGAUGGCACCACUAUUUAUAUGUGGUACAGAAUCUGCGUUUGCGAAAAAUAUGCAAACAGAGGUCAGGAAUACGAGAAUAAAACUACUGUAACUAAAGAUGGCGUAGAUGCCCACUACGAGGAGAGCUGCACCUAUGAAACCAAUCCCGUUCACAUAAUGUGCUGGGUAAACUAUUACGAAAUCAAGGUACAAUGUUAUUGUCUCGGAAAACCAAAAUACAGAAGAUAAAGAAAGAUUUGCUGAAUAAGAGUUAAGAAGAUUUGGCAUUCACGUGGUAUCGCAUUUGAUUAAAAAAACUGAUUAUGAAGAACCUUUUAUAAAUAUGAGCAGCGAUGACGAACAUCACCGACUGGGACAGAUCUUUCAUGAAAAAAGUUUUAGUUUUGUUGUGUGUGAUUAUUAACAGUACAAAUGCAUUCAUGUUAGAAAUGUUUCACUAAAGCAUGCAUUAAAGGAAAUAAAAUGAGAAGAACUAGUCUUAUCAUAUAUACUACUUUGCCUGCUAAAGAAAUCAGCAGAUAGUGUUGUUCAUAUCUGACGAGCAAUUAUAUACAAGUAUUUAAGUAAAUUCCGAACUUUUUAAAAUCUAUUAAAUAAAUUAUAAAGGUUUAACAACAAAAUAAAUCGUAUCUAAAGCUUAAAGCAAUAUGAGCUGUAUUUUUUAGAAUUUUAUUUUGCUGCAAAAACAUGCUAGAAUGAUAAGUCUGCAUAUAACUUAAACUUUUAUGAUAAAUAAGAUUUGAAAAAAUCAUUAAUUUUUGUCAAAGGAAAUAUUUCUCUUCUAAGAAGUAAAUAGCAAAUCAAUUUUGGUACAGGACGACAAUAAUUCAAUUUUGCUCCAAAUAUGGCUUCUUUACGGCUUUUUCUAGAAAAAUAUGGCUUACAGAAAUUUAAAAACAAUGAUAUUUUUGUCAUUUUAGUAAAAAAGAACAUUUUAGUAAAAAAAAAAAUUCAACAUGAAAAAUGCAGCUCAUAUUGCUUUAAAUAAUUAAGGUUUUACUAACAAAAAUACGUCGUAUCCAGUUAUACUAAGUUUCAGUUCCGGUACACUAAAAAUAUGUAUGGGAAAGAAAUAACUGGAAUUCCAUCAGUUAUUAAAGGGGUUUUCCGUCCUUCCGUCCUGCACACUAAGGAACUAAUAGACGAUGUCUCUGCGGAACAUAUAACAACAGGUUUGCUCCAAACGAAGGGUCUGAAUUGCCCGCCGGUCACAUUCAAAUGGAAGGAAUUGACAUACACGGGGACGAAAAUUGUCGUUACGAGUACUCAACAGUAAGGGGAUGGCAAAAGAAAUUUGUGCUUCAUUGCCACUGUAGAAAAAUUUAAGUGAAAAUGAAAAACAUAUCGUACAUUUAGUUGACUUAUUGACAUUCAUACUCUAAAAGAUCAACAGAGAAUAACUGUGUUACUUUGGAAACAAGAAAAACACCGGUUUUGAAAGAAGAAAAAAAAAACCAAUGUUGUGACGUUUUAUAAAAGCCCAUGUGUAAAUGAUCCUGGACCCACAAGUGUUUUUUUUUAUCAUUGUCAGAUCUAUAUAUAGUAGACAGGGCGCUCUCUGUCUCUGAUAAAGCAUUAAAGUGUCCGUGAAGUCAAAGUCAAAGUUUCUUUUAAAUUGUAGAGAAAUACAUAAAAUUCAAUAUCAUAAAAAAUGUACUGUUGUGUUUUUGUUGAUAUGACGUAAAGCGUAUUUAAGAACUGUUACAGCCACAAAAUGGACUGAAAGCGAUUUUAGAUUUACAAAUAAGACAGGGAAUUCUGUGAGCAUAAUUUUGUUCGAGUUUAGACCAAUGAAAGCACAGAAGAUCACUCGAGACUGGCGACAGAGGGCAUUGCAAAAUGCAUCCAUUAUUAAGCCAUGGAAUUUUUGAGUGUUUUUUUUUUUUUUUAAAUUGCCUUGUGUAUUCUAAGCCAGUGAAAACGAAGAUGAUCAUUGGUUACUGACUUCGCAAGACAUAAUAAUAAUGUCAUAAAUUACAUUCGAUAAUAUUACGCAAAUUAAAACAAAAUAUAGGGGGUGGCGCUUAUAUGGAAGUCUUUUACAAUCUCAGAAAAAGUCACAAAAUUUCUAAGAAAAAAAAAAUAAGCAUGCAUAAUGAUAUACAUGUAAGUGGAAUUUUUGAGAGAUCUUUUAUAAUCCUUCAGCAAGCGCAUGAAUGAAGAAGUCCACGAAAGCAAUUUAUGUGAAACAGUGAUAGAUAGGGACAACUGAAAGAACAAGGGGAAUAGUAAUCGUGUUUAUUAGAAUAUCUCGAGAUCAAUCGCGUCAAUUACAAAAACAAAAGUUAUGACGAUUGAUUCUACCCCUCGACGGAGUAGAUGUACACACAAUAGACCAUGUGAAUACCCGGUAUGUCUCGGUGAGACACCUUAUUCCUUGCUCCGCAAACAUUUAUAUCGAUUUAUACUGACAUGCCAAUGUGCCUCUGAAAACGGUAGGUUUUGAAACCCUUUUUGAUUUAAUAUGUUUGAAGCAUUUACCUGAUGUUCUCACUACAUGUCGGAAAGACCACUAAUUAGCACACAGUUCUUAAAAUUAAUUUUGAGUCUACAAAGUUACAGUACUUAGCUACUAUAUUUGUUUAAAAUGAGUAAGAACACCAAGAAGGAAGACUAAUUCAAGACUGAACAAAGAAAACUGACACGUAUACUUAAACGCAUCGCGCAUGCGCAACUAAAAAAUAGAAGAAUUUAUAAGAAAUUCUACCUGCAACAGCUAACAGUUUGGUGUAUAAAACGAAGGAUGCGAGAUUUCAACAUAAUUCCAGAAGAUAUUGUUCGCUCCUCAGCAGUUUUGGAUAACGAAGUCCACUCUAGAGGCUGCAGGUGCAAACGUCGUCGUUUGUACCAUGUUUCGGAAUUUGUUUACGUUUACUACAGAAAAUGUGUUUGCGGGAAAUAUCGCAACAGGCUUGCCGCAUUUGAACAUACAGCCGAGAAUCGCCGAUUGCCCACUGGUCACAUCAAUAUUGAUGGAGUUGAUAUUCACGCAGACGCACAGUGUCAUUAUGAAUAUCCGGAAUCUCAACCUUCGGGAAAAAUAAUUUUUCGACUGAUUUGUUACUGCGACAAGUAAAGUCAAAGAAAUAUAAGACAUUGAUUGCAUUCGAAAAAAGAAAAUAAUCGGAGCCAACUUUUAAUCAUUGAAUCCAACACCAUCAUAUACACUUUCUUUAUAUAACUUUAUAUAUUUUUGUGACUUGAAAUACUUUUCACUUCUAUCUAUCAUUGUAUUAUCCGUCAAUAUCAUUUUUCGUCAUCUGCAACGUUUUUUAUGUAUCUUACUAUGUUUGAACCGAAAAAAUCAUUGAUAAACUGAAAUAAAUUCGUUCACAACUUUACUUCGUUAAAAAUAAUUUUUAUUUACUACAAGAGAGUGUAUUUCAUUUUCUUGUAUAGCCUCAUGCUUACAACCACAUUUGUUUGGUAAUAUUUCAGUCUUUGGCAUAAAAUAUUCAUCUUUAUUAGAAAUUGUUUCCUGGAUCUAAUUACUAUGAUAUACCUGUACGUUAUUUUAGUAUUGAUUGAUGAUAGCAAACCACAAUGUAAGACUUUAUCAAAAAAUCCUAAACUUUCAAAGCAAUGCUUUAUAAACAAAAAUAAUAAGCAUUUAUGAGGGAUCAAGAUGGAAUUUUAAUAAAAUAGACAAUUUGCAAUUGGUCGAUGUACAAGUAUGCUGCUACGUCAAAACAACGGGAGGAACAAAAAACCGCUGCUAAAAACUAUGUCAUUCAUUUUAUAUCCACAUUAAAAUUCAUAGUUUUAUUUCUUAUUCAUAGUUUAAGUCACAUGGUUAAAGAGUGUUGCGCUUCAAUGUUAGAGUAAGAUAUUCUAUUAAGCCCAUUUAAUGAUAGGCAAUGAUUUAAAAAUCUUUUAGACGCAAAGUUAAAGAACCGACCUUCAAAAAGAAUUAUUUGUAGUUUAAAAAUAAACGUUGGACAUGCAUUGACAAAAAUCUACCGUACAUGAAAAUUUACCUAUCAGUUAUUUGAAGAAAUAAAUUUUAAAACCGUCAACCAGGAGUUUAUGGGCAGAGUAUUUUUUUUUUAAUUUUUUACCAAACAUGUUAUACAAUUUCUUUAAACGAAUUUUAGAAUCACUUGUUUAUUUACCACAAAUGACAAUAGAAAGCUAGUAAAGCAAUAUAGCAUAAUAUAGUAUCAAGCAAUACUAAAAAAAACUGCGAGUGUGCAAAUAUGUGUAAUCUAUAUUUAGCAGAUAAAAAUAACCGCUACAAAAUUCCCAUGAGCCAAAAUCAUGAAAAUCGUUACACUAACGCAUUACGUAAUGUUAGCUAACUAGACUAUAAAAGGAAAUAAAACGCUACCUGUAUCACAUGCCAGGAAUAACCACACCUGAGACUUCAUAAGCAAAUAACAAGGUUUCUUUUUUUUUUUAAUCAAAAUGACCUCACAAGAUAUCACAGUCACUGACUUAGAACAAAUAAGCGAAGGUGUUGAAGGAGAAGAACACGAAGGCACUGAAUGUGCCCCAGUUAUGAAAACCUGCAAAUAUUCCAGAGGGAGCUUUGUUAAGGGAGAUGUUGUUGUCUUUUUUCGAUACUGUCGAUGUGGAAAAUAUAAUAAACAAACAUGUGACAACAAUCUGGCGCAACUGAACAACGGCGGGAUAAAUGUACCCACCGAUGGAUUAGAUAUUCAUCGAGACAGCCGUUGUUAUUACGCAGACCCCAAACCCAUUCGUUCUAAAGGAAAGACGGUCUACGUUUAUUCCCUUCACUGUGUGUGUAAACAUGCUUCAAGGACAUCCUUGUAUUUGCGUUAGCAAAAGAAUCUAACGAUUGGAACCAUAGCAAAAGUUUCCGAGCAGCAACAGACGCAAAGCAAAAAGCAAUUCAGGCGACAACAGCGCCAAAUAAAUGACGCAAACUAUUUAUGAAAAUUGUUGACUUUCUUUUCAAUGAUUUAUCGUGUAAUUAUCAGAUUUAUAUCGUUAUGAAUUGUGCCUUUUUGUGGACGAAAUAAAAUCACUUUUGAACCAUAUCUGAUUUUUAUAUGAUUACUUUAUUUGGAUCUUACCAGUUUCAUGUUUUAUAGGGUUGUAAAAAAGGUUAUUAUGGGGGCAAAAUAUGUGGUAUGUGUGUGAAAACGUAUAUUGGUAGCAAAGUUUCCACUCCUUCAAGCUAAGGGUUUGAACAACACAUCCUUCUUGUGUUAAGUCCAAAUUAACAAUUAAUCAUAAUUAAAUAAAACCUGCUACCCUUUAAAAUCAUGGUGUUAGACGAAAGAUUAUUUUGCUCCAAGAUGAAUUUAGAGAAAUGGUCUGAAAGGAUUAUAAAAAUAAUAAUCUUUCGCCCGAUUAAUGUAUAAUAUGUAAAUUAUUCAGUACUUAUUUUCUAAACAUUUAAAUUUUAAAAUUAAUUUCACAAAAGCAGUUAAAUCAGAUAACAGUAUAAUUUGAUUUAGACCAGUUCACGAUUCCAAACACCUGCAGUUACAAGGCUCCACUUUUCACAAUAACAUAUUUUCAAAGACAACAUUUUUUCACAGUAAACGUGCCAAUACAAGCCGUGUGAAUAAUCAUGUCCUAAAGUCCAUUUAAAAUACAUUUACCAAAAACAAACUGAUAAAUUUACGGUUUUAUGUUCAAAAUCUUUAAAAAAAAAAAUUAAAGCUUCAAAGACUUUCCUUAAAGAAAUAAACUAUUCUUUUUUGAGUAUAUCCAAAAAUGUUUCGCAACGUUACCUAAAAUCUUUCAUUUAAGAUAUACCGACAUGUUUUGGAAGACUGACGCCAAAUUCUGCACAUCUCAAAAUUAAGAUCUAAGCAAACUGAUUUUUUUCUGUACAAUAAACGUCGACAAUAUAAUUAAUUCCGUAUAGAAGCAUUCGAAAAUUGUACCCGAUCCAUUAUGACUUAAUAUUUGAGAACCUAUCGCUUAACCAAUUCAACCACUACAAACUGAACGACAUAAUUAAGUAGAUGUUUGAAAAGGAUCCACAUGAGAACUAGGCACUACAUAUGUAUAAAACAAAUAUUUUCAGGAAAAUCUCAAACUAUCCAGUAGCUAACAGAUUAAAUUAGACCAGGGUUUUUUAAAGUCUAUUUUAGACGCCUGUGUUGCUAUAAAUACUAUAGGGAAUUUGUGAGUAUAUUUUUGUUCAUAAGCAUGCGUUUUCUUAGCCAAUGAAUGCACAGAAGAACAAUCGAGACAUUCUUGGUUAAUGACUGCGCAAGACAGAAAUAUGUCAUAAGUAGGAAAAAUCGUUAUUUUUAUAAAUAAAACUACUAUAAAAGGCCAUGCUAAGAGUAUUUCUGACAGGUGUUUUGAGCAUAAUCCUAGAAAAGGUUCAGACUCUUAAUAAACUCAACAUGAAUAACGACAUAAGUGGUAUCCCUGAAGAGGCCUUCUAUAGCUCAAUCAGCAACCGCAUGGACGGAGAAGUCCAUGAGAGCGACGACUGUGAGGUCGUUGCGAGAUAUGGAGAGCUCAACGAACACGGCAGAAUAGUAGUCGUGCUCAUUAGAAUAUGCCAUUGUGGCAAACAUGAAAGCAAAGAGAAAGUUUUUGAGGCUAAGCAACGAUUGAAUGUCCCCCAGGACGGAUUGGAUGUACACGGAAAUGAGGAAUGGGAAUAUAUCUCGAUAAAAUAUUUUGAUCCAAAGCUUGGCCAACAUCUCUAUCGAUUUAAACUGACACACCGCUGUAACUCUAAAAAGGGCAUGAAGAGAGUUUUAGAUUACAACUAGAUAAAGCCUGAAGAGCCAUCACAUGACAGCGAACAAUUAAAUUACACAAAAUGGCUGCCCAACCGAGGAUGACAGAUCGACCAGGAACUGAACAUUAAAAUGCAGGUUAAACAACGUACAAUGUUAGGCAAGAUAAACACUAGUACCAAAAGGAAGAAUGAAACGUGAACAAACGAAAAGUGUUGUGUACUUGAAAUGAAAGCAUGUGUACAUAAUGUGUGAACAAUUAUUUAUUUAAAAAAAAAUAUUUAUUUCAAACAAUUAAAUAAAAACAAAUGAAGAUUUGUCAAUGUUUUUUAAUGUUUUAAAGGUUGUAUUAGUGCUCUAUAGUGUUAAGAUUUUCCGUUUCAUCCAGAGUGUAUUAUGUUGACAUAUGACUUUGUUUAGUAAUCAUAUUCAUAAACUGUAAAUUUACACAUUUUAAUAUAUGUAUAUAUGCAAGCUAAUAGAGCAAAUUUUAUCAUUUUGCUAAUACCAACUGGAAUACCGUAUGACAUGAAAUGUGAUUAUCUAAAAUAAAAAUGACAGAAAGUA